rnacentral:sRNA from 1 species
AUCAGCCACAGGGGCUGAGGAUCCGCACUGGGGGCGUCGUGGGCAUCGGGCUUCAGCUUCCCCCCUCUUGUCUAGCCCCCCUGGGCACAGGGGUGCUUGUGAGCACUGCAGACUGCAGCCUUCCCCUCAACCCUCCCUCCCCUCGCUGGUGGGCUGACCCUGCCUCUCCUUCUCUCCUCCGCCCCGUUAGAGCCCUGCUGCAGAGCCUCCGGCUGGGAUAGCCGCCCCCCGUGGGGGCGAUGCGGACAGCGCGGGACAGCCAGGGGAGCGCGCGGGGGCCGCAGCAUGCGGGAACCCGCUAAACCCGGUGGCUGCUGAGGCGGCCGAGAUGCUCGUGCGCGCAGCGCGCCCCACUGCAUCCUCGACCUUCUCUGGCUACAGGGACCGUCAGUGGCGACUAUGGGCAGAGUGGGCUAUUGGACCCUGCUGGUGCUGCCGGCCCUUCUGGUCUGGCGCGGUCCGGCGCCGAGCGCGGCGGCGGAGAAGGGUCCCCCCGCGCUGAAUAUUGCGGUGAUGCUGGGUCACAGCCACGACGUGACAGAGCGCGAACUUCGAACCCUGUGGGGCCCCGAGCAGGCGGCGGGGCUGCCCCUGGACGUGAACGUGGUAGCUCUGCUGAUGAACCGCACCGACCCCAAGAGCCUCAUCACGCACGUGUGCGACCUCAUGUCCGGGGCACGCAUCCACGGCCUCGUGUUUGGGGACGACACGGACCAGGAGGCUGUAGCCCAGAUGCUGGAUUUUAUCUCCUCCCAUACCUUCGUCCCCAUCUUGGGCAUUCAUGGGGGCGCAUCUAUGAUCAUGGCUGACAAGGUAAGGCCGGAAGCUGAUGCCCUGCCAGGACCUGGGAAGCCACCAGCUGCAUGGCAGCUGCUGCAGGUCUUCCGACGCCCCUAGAAUCUGUCUUGAUGUGAAGUGAGGGUGGGGGUGGGAGGGCCGUGGCCACUGGCCCUGGUGAGAACCAGGUCUUGCCUCUCCAACCCAGAAAUGAAUGGAAAUGCCUUUUGCCUUGUUUCUGAAAAUGGUGUACGCAGGAGCACUUUGUUGUGCGUGUGCCAGGAAGAGCUCAGAAAACUGAGAAGUAGGCUAUGGGGUGGUGGUGGUGGCAUGUUUGGAGAUUUACGAGUACCAUGGGGCACAGAGGUGGGCCCAGGAGCACUGGAGACAUAUGCUUCCUAUUUCCACAAUGCCAGUUUUACCUGAUUGUUUUGUGGGAAAAUGUCCAUUUUUUCCUCUUAUGGUAAGUGACUAAAACUAUUUCUAAAAAUUAUUAAAUGUGGGUAGGUUCUGGAAGAAAAUGCAAAGUUUUUA